UACGAAGGGGGCUAGCGUUGUUCGGAAUUACUGGGCGUAAAGCGCACGUAGGCGGAUACUUAAGUCAGGGGUGAAAUCCCGGGGGCUCAACCCCGGAACUGCCUUUGAUACUGGGUAUCUCGAGUCCGGAAGAGGUGAGUGGAAUUCCGAGUGUAGAGGUGAAAUUCGUAGAUAUUCGGAGGAACACCAGUGGCGAAGGCGGCUCACUGGUCCGGUACUGACGCUGAGGUGCGAAAGCGUGGGGGAGCAAAACAGG
rnacentral:rRNA from 1 species